GACGGAGGAUGCAAGCGUUAUCCGGAAUGAUUGGGCGUAAAGCGUCCGCAGGUGGCAGUUCAAGUCUGCUGUCAAAGACCGGGGCUUAACUUCGGAAAGGCAGUGGAAACUGAACAGCUAGAGUAUGGUAGGGGCAGAGGGAAUUCCUGGUGUAGCGGUGAAAUGCGUAGAGAUCAGGAAGAACAUCGGUGGCGAAGGCGGCUCUCUGGGCCUUACCUGACGCUGAGGAGCGAAAGCGUGGGUAGCGAACAGG
rnacentral:rRNA from 1 species